rnacentral:ncRNA from 2 species
AAAACAAAUAAACUCCGAGCAAAAGUGUCUAAGGGAUUAAUUUCUAUGAUGCUGCGCUAAAGCAUUUUAGCUUUCGGGUUAGACUGGAAACGGUAUAGCCUUCCGAUUUUGAAAAGGAGCAUUAAUUACAAAUGU